UACGUAGGUGGCAAGCGUUGUCCGGAAUUAUUGGGCGUAAAGCGCGCGCAGGCGGUUUCUUAAGUCUGAUGUGAAAGCCCACGGCUCAACCGUGGAGGGUCAUUGGAAACUGGGAAACUUGAGUGCAGAAGAGAAGAGCGGAAUUCCACGUGUAGCGGUGAAAUGCGUAGGGAUGUGGAGGAACACCAGUGGCGAAGGCGGCUCUUUGGUCUGUAACUGACGCUGAGGCGCGAAAGCGUGGGGAGCGAACAGG
rnacentral:rRNA from 1 species